AGUGAACGCUGGCGGCAGGCCUAAUACAUGCAAGUCGAACGGCAGCACAGCAGAGCUUGCUCUGUGGGUGGCGAGUGGCGGACGGGUGAGGAAUACAUGGGAAUCUGCCCAGUCGUGGGGGAUAACGUAGGGAAACUUACGCUAAUACCGCAUGCGCCCUUCGGGGGAAAGCCGGGGACCUUCGGGCCUGGCGCGAUUGGAUGAGCCUAUGUCGGAUUAGCUAGUUGGCAGGGUAAAGGCCCACCAAGGCGACGAUCCGUAGCUGGUCUGAGAGGAUGAUCAGCCACACUGGAACUGAGACACGGUCCAGACUCCUACGGGAGGCAGCAGUAGGGAAUAUUGGACAAUGGGCGCAAGCCUGAUCCAGCCAUGCCGCGUGAGUGAAGAAGGCCUUCGGGUUGUAAAGCUCUUUUGUCCGGAAAGAAAAGCAUCCAGUUAAUACCUGGGUGUCCUGACGGUACCGGAAGAAUAAGCACCGGCUAACUUCGUGCCAGCCGCCGCCGUAAUAC
rnacentral:rRNA from 1 species